AGCGAGAUAUUUCUUGCCUGCAUUUUUUCCCUCAUUUCUCUUCUCCCCUCUGACUUUAAGCCGGGAACAUUCCUUACUUCAGGGUGAGGGCUGAAGUUUCGAGAACAGUCCGGCUCCAGGUGGAGUUGGCCGACGGGCAGCAUCAGCAUUACCUGAGAGGGAGGCAGAUUCUGGGACCACAGCCCACAUCUCCUGAAGCUCACAGCCCACAUCUCCUAAAGCCCAAUCUGUCUCUGGGGAUGAGGCUGAGAAAUCUGUUUUAACACAUAACCUUCUCAGGUUAUUACACACGGGACCUUGGGGAAGUCACUCAACCAGCUAACGUGUGUCAGUGCUCACCGUGCGCCAGGCAUCUUUGAAUCCUCCCCAUAGCCCUUGAGGCUUUUUCGAUAAUGCUGAGAGGUCUCGGCUCCUGCAGACUGCAAGCUGGGUGCCUUCCUUCUACAGAACACACGCCCCCUUGCAAGGAAACCACGGAAUUUCCCCAGCAAGGAGUCUUCUGCAACUCCAGGCCACAGGAAGGUCACAAAUGGUCAGAAAAGGAGCAAAUGCGAGGAGGAAGCACCAGCCCCGCCCAUGUUGUCCGGGGCCCCUCCCAAGGGGACAGGAAAUCGCCAUAAACAGGACGCAGAGCAUCCAGGGAGCGUCUGGGCUGCAGGGUUUAAAAAAUAUCCUGGACUUUGGAAAAUAAAGUAAAAUGAGGAUGGAACAGACUUCGGCUCUGCUAACACUGAAACUCCAGUCAAGUUGUAAACUGAGAAAGAAUGUGUUGGAACUAGGAAUUGCCCCAUAGUCUUCACAGGUGAGUAUGAUGGAUUAAUGAAUGGAAGUUCAGGAAACAUUUCUUACCUUCACCUCAGUCCUUCAUGCCCUGACUGAAGUCAAACAGUCACUGUGAUCACUGUUCAAAGUGUAACCAUUGAACAGCUGUAACCAUUUAAGCUGUUAGCAGGUUUCCUCUGGAAAGGAAGUGGGCUCAGAUCUUCAAAUGCUAGGAGAGUCACGGGAGCAGAGAUGAUCUGUCUUGCUUCAGGGCUAGCCUUGCUUUCAUGAGGUCUCUAAAAUUUUCCCGUUUUAAAGAAUCUUACUCUCUUACCAAGAAUUAGCUCGAUAUAUUUCGGAGAAAAACUAACCCUCACACCUUUUUCCAUUGCAUUGGCAUUUUGUUGAAGUGACAAAAGUAUUUUUUUUUUUUUUAAAUACCAACUAACCACAAACCGAUGUGCAGAAAUUGGCAAGCGAAACACAGACAAUCGGAAUUUGAAAAUCAAACCAGAAAAAAAAGAAAAAAACCUAAGUCCAGGAGACAUGCAAGCAAUUUGAUAACUCACAGAGUAUCCUCUUCAUGUUUAUAGGGUAAGACCCAUGGACCAAACUUUAAUUUUGGUAGUGCUCUGUAAAAAUUACACAAGAGCCUGUUAAACCAAAAUGCUGCUUGAAAGUGUUAUCUUUGGUGAUAUGUCACUGAUGCUGGAUUUUUAAACCUCCUAUCUUAAACACAUGACUCAUGUAGAGAUUAUAUUUUGUCAUAAGACUUCCUACUUCCUAUUUGUGCUUAGUCUAUUUCAUAGCUUAUAGCAAUUAUUAUGGGACCAUAGUUGGAGUUGAAAUGUAACCAAAAAUUAUUAUUCUAUGAAUAUAUUAAAGUUUAGCAUAAAAA